rnacentral:lncRNA from 1 species
CCUGAAGUCAUCAUCUUCAGCACUGGAUUUCAAUGCUGCUGUUAUAUCCUCUUGGAUGCCACACAAAGAUGAGAAUCGAUUAUGCAGUUCUUCCUUCAACACGGCACCUUUUUCCAUCCAGACAGUUAUUUCACCCUGGAUCUCUGUUAGGUGUUUGUAAAUUGGUUUUGCAUCUGAUCUUAUAGAAUACUUUAUACUACUACUACCCUCUGACGUCUUUCCUCUUUCCUGUAGUUUUGACAGCUCGGUCUCCAAAUCUUUGAUAGUGGUUUGAAACUUCUGUAUCUCAGAGUAAUAAGCACUGAAAUUUAACCAGAAAGUUAAGUUCUGCUCUAGAAUUUCAUCCAUGUUUGACCGGAAUUUGUCUUCAAUAGGUGAAGUAGAUUGAGGUUCAACUUUUAGAACUUCCUCCAUGCCGUUCUUUUCUGAUGGCAUCACUACAGUUACCUCUGCCAGAUCUUCAUUUCCUUCAAAGCUUCUCUGCAAGAGAACUAGUUUUUGACGCAGAGUUCUUAUCUCUUCAUCUUUCGUGGCAUUGGCUGUCUUCAGUUCUUUUAGCUGCACAGAUGAAUCAGAGUUGCUAUCUUGAUUUUUCUUCUCUAUUUCAGCCAGCCUCUUCUUGACAUCUUUAUAGUUUCGAAGAGUAGUAGUAUAUUCAGCCAGCAGAACUUGUUCUCUAUCAUGCAUUCCAUUUGUAAACAAUUUCCGCCAAUCAGGUUCAUCUUGUGCUGUUGCUUGCUCCUUGGAAUCAACUUUGAGAGAAUUCUCUCUCUCACAUGAACUUUGUUUAGCAUAAUUUUCUUGCUGUUUCUCUGAACUCUCUGAAGAACUAUCUAGCUUGUUGCUUGCUAGUUGUUGUUCGACUUCCUGAUUUUCUGUGGUAGUGCUCACAUCAGCUGUUGCCUUUUCGUCACCUUUGCCAGGAUUUACAUUCUUAUCUUGUUCUUUUAACACUUCGGGAAUUUUGUUUUCCACAGGGGUAGUUUCUUCCAUUUCUAAGGAACUGGUGACCUCAACCUCAUUUACUGACUUGACAUCAUUUUCCAAUGAACCGGUGAUAUUUGCAAAUGGUGAGCCAGUGACCUCAGGCUUGUCUGAUGCUAGAUCAUCUUCAACAGUAGCAGCA